rnacentral:rRNA from 1 species
CCUACGGGAGGCAGCAGUGGGGAAUAUUGCACAAUGGGGGAAACCCUGAUGCAGCGACGCCGCGUGAGUGAAGAAGUAAUUCGUUAUGUAAAGCUCUAUCAGCAGGGAAGAAAAUGACGGUACCUGAGUAAGAAGCCCUGGCUAACUACGUGCCAGCAGCCGCGGUAAUACGUAGGGGGAAAGCGUUAUCCGGAUUUACUGGGUGUAAAGGGAGCGUAGACGGCAGUGCAAGUCUGGAGUGAAAGGCGGGGGCGCAACCCCUGGACUGCACUGGAAACUGUACGGCUGGAGUGCGGGAGAGGUAAGUGGAAUUCCUGGUGUAGCGGUGAAAUGCGUAGAUAUUAGGAGGAACACCAGUGGCGAAGGCGGCUUACUGGACUGUAACUGACGUUGAGGCUCGAAAGCGUGGGGAGCAAACAGGAUUAGAUACCCGUGUAGUC